rnacentral:lncRNA from 1 species
CACGAAGGCCGGUCUCAGCAAGGUGAACGCAAGAAGGGGAAAUCUUCGGUCUUGGCGAGGCUCACCGGUGCUGACGGCGCCACGGGCUCGGCGAGGGCGCGGUGGUCGAUGGGGAGCUCCGGGCGGCGUCGCGAGCUCUGGGGGCGGAGCGGUCGGCGUGGCCGAGGACGAGGCGCGGCUGCGACGGGCUCGCCACGAGCUUGGUCCGUGGCGUCGCGGUUGCAGGCGAUGUCGACGUCGCGAGCGCAGAGCGAACCGGUGGCGGAGACGGUGCCACGGCAGCACAGCUUCGGGACGAGGCCAUGGCGCGGUCGUGGGUGGCUUCGGUGUGGUCGUGCUCUGUGACGUCCGCGGCGAGCUCGUCGGCGAGGUGACGCAGUGGCGCUGGGCGGAGGGAGAAGGAGCAGAGGGAGGUGACUUGCGGCCGCUGGAUCGCGAAUGCUCCAAGCAGCCGCGUGCUCGCGCAGAGUGGCCGUCGCGAGGCUCGGGCGCAGGGGAAGGGGCGCGGGGGCGAGGUCGCGGCCACGGUCGCCGGGGUUCGGCCGGUUGACGUCGUCGCUGCCAUGUCGUGGUGGUUCGUCGUGGCGCCGGAGGUGGAGGUCGAGUUCGCAGCGCGGCGGCGCUGCUUGGGAGCAGAGGAGAAAGGGGAGGGCGGUGGCGUCGCGGGGAAGAAGAGGAGAGCGGCGGCUCGGGCUCUUAUAGCGCGGGCGCUAGGGCUUCGGGGUAGGGCGACCAUCCUCGGCGUCCGUGCCGUGGGCGGGCCGCGUGGCGUGAAUCGCGAGGCGCGCGUCGAGGGGAGAGGGGCAGGUGCGCGCAGAGGCACGGGUGCAGGUGGCGCGGGCGCGCCUCUGUCCACCCCGGAGCGGUGGCGGCGGCGCCUAAGGAGCAGCUGCUCCCUAGGGUUCAGGUGAGGGCGCGCCUGGUGGGCUGGGCCGCGCGCGGGAUGGGCUAGGCGGUGCACUUGCGAGCUGGGCUGGCGGCGGCGCCUGUUGGGCCGAGGCAAGGAGGGGGGUAGGGAGCAGGCCAGCUGGGCCGCGAGAAGAAAUGGAGGGAGAUUCGGCCCAAGAGAAAUGAAAAAGGAAAUCCUCCAUUUAUGAGCAAGGGAAUUUGAGGGAGAUUCAAAUAUAUAGAUAUGGAAUCGGACUCGAAGGAAUACGAUAGAGAUUCGAGAGGACUUUGCUACGGAUUUGUGCACUCCAAACCCUAAUUAAGACUCAACUCCAAAUCGACUCACGAACAAAGGCACUCGUCUACAAACAAAUCUUUAUGUAUGCCAUGAUUUGUUAGCGAGUUAGGAUCGAUUUAGACUUAAAAACUAUAUGCUUCACACGAUUACAGGAAAAUUUUUUAAAAAGCUCGUAUUUUUGGUUUUCGUAAAAAAUCUGGGUUGUUACAGUCCACCCUCCAUACAGGAAUCUCGUCCCCGAGAUUAAGACGUUGCUCGGUUGGUGAAGAGGCGAGGGUGUCGUUCCCAAAGCUUUUCUUAUUUCUGAGUUGUUUCACUUUCAGUACGAUCGCUCCAAAAACCUUUUCCAAAAUGGGAGUGAGUCAUGUUCCGGGUAUAUCCAAGGCUCAGUCGUGGGUGCUGGGUAUCCAAAAUUCGCACCGGGUUUAUGAACAUCUAGCUCUCAAAGUGUGCAGGGCAGGCUUAAACAUAGCUAGGGUUGUUGGCUUUCACAGUUGUUUUUCAUGCAUCACUUUUUGCAAAAAGCUUUUGAGAGAAAGAUUUUUCAGAAAAACAGGCUUCAAAAUUAGAGUGAAGGCGCUUUUACAAAGUCAAGUUUUUGAGACUUCAAAAUGAAGAGAGCUUUUGAAGAGGGUUGAAAUUGAUGCAAGUUUUGAAAACCGAAUCUUUUGAUAUAUUCUUUUUGAGUGAUUUCAAUCAGGAGGGUUGAAACUCAUUUAUUUUAUUAUUAUUAUUUUAUUAUUUUUUAUUUUUUUUUUUGAAACUUGUAAGUUCUUUCUAUUUUUGCUAAAAAAUUUUUCUUUGAAAGGUUGCAACAAAAUCUUUUCGCAACAAUUUAUUUUAGUUAAUAAAUCAGUUAGAGAUUUUUUUUAAGGUAAGGUUGAUUUUUGAAAGGAAUUUGGCUCUCGAGGUAAAAUCAAAGGCCUUUAAAACAAAACUGAGCCAAAAUCUUUGGUUGAAAAUCCACUUUGUUGGUUGAAGGCAAAACUUUUGAUUUUCAGAAGAGGGUUGGUGACACCUUUUGAAAGAUAACUUAUUUUUAAAUCAUUUCAUAAAAAGAGUUUGAAUGAAAUUGAGUUGAGAAGGGAGUUAAAGUUGCUUUCUUUUUAAAAAGGAAAACCAUAAGAGAGUUUUGAAACACUUUUCCAUUUGAAACCAAGAUGUUUUUGUAAAAGAGGGAAACUUUUUCAACCAAAAAAGGAGGCAAUUUUGAAGAUAUGUUUUGUUGAAAGCCGAAAGUUGUUUUGAAACAGAUGGGCAAGACAUGAUGCAUCAGCUUUACCUUACUUUUAAGUCAGUUAGUCAAGGUCACUUAUCUAGUCUCGGGACGGUCUUAGGUUUAGCCGACUAGGUUGAACGGGAUCCAGAGUCUUUCCCGCAUAAAACAAGUUCUAUGACCUACACUCAGACAACAAGAAGCAGAAGAAAUGCAACAACAUAAGACCCAAGCACUCAAACAGCAUUACCACUCCUAAUGCAUAGUGUUGACUUGAGGCGACUCUCAGACCUUCAAAGUCUCACACAACUAUCGAUCUAGCGUGGGCGGGUAUGGGGAAAGAUUCCAACGGUCAACUUUAUGAAAUAGGAAGUCAGUUAGCAGCAGAAUUCAAGGCGGAGGGGGAAAACAAGUGUUAGCACCUAUAACUCUACAAAAGAUAGAAUGUUUGGCUACUAAACUAGUGUUUGGUACUAAUGGUCUCGUCCUAGGGUCAAGUAUGGCUCUGAUACCAACUGAAACGACCUAGAUUUUUCCACAAAGGGAAAAAUCCACAGAUUCGAAUUAUAAUGUGAUAGUUCGGAAAUUGAUCCAUCACAUUAUCAUAUAUCAGCUGUUAUCAUAGUCAUACAUCGUGAAAAACAAGAUUACAACACAUUUACUUUACAACUCUUGGUCAACAAGCCUAUUACAUCAUUUUUCUAGCGAAAACACACGCGAGUCUUUAUCAGAGUCGAUGUAGCGCGUCAACGGUGAAGGCUCCUCCUUCACGGGCAAUCAUCAGAGUCGGCGUAGUUGAUCAGCGGGCGUAGCCUUCAUCUCCGAACCAAACUUGAGCGCAGGAACGAGACCACCUAAUCCUUCUAUUCUCCGUAGUUAUAGUCAUAGACCAUGUUCAACCUGAUAAACAAUUUUCAGUACGAUUUGUACUGGCCACUGGCUCCCACCCUAUGCUUUUGCGUAAGCUUUGUGGUAAGUGGAAUGCAAAGGGUAGAUCAAGAGGCCUAUAUAUAUGGCUGUAGUUUUUCCUAUGUAAGUUCAUCAAAAUUUUAUAAUAAUAAUUCAUCAAGUUUUAUUCCAUCUCAUCCUCACAUCCGUCCAUCCAUCCCAUCACACACAUCUCACCACACUCUCACUCUCUAGGCGGCAAGUACGACUCCCGCUCGUGCCUUGCCUCAACGGCCAACGCCGGAUCCAACACAACCCAGGGGAAGGUAGAAAGGACUCCUCUCACUAGUCAAGCGAAGCGGAACAUAGGAAAGGUCCAUAGCCGAGAAAACGGCAUAUGUAUCGAUCGAUCAACCAAACUAUGCAGAGGUUUACACUAACCACAAGAUCACCAUCAUCGACGAACCGGCUCGUCUAGGCUGAUACCGGGCUGCCUUCCAACUAAAUACGAUGCCACCCUACCACUCAGGACUGGGGCCAUACCGGAGUACCACCGGCAUGCUGAGACUGUGAGGCGUAGUACCGGGCCCCCAAAGGUCACUACGCUGUCUUAGGAGGGUGUGGGUCCUCAUGCCCGUACCUCCCUACACUAUCCGCUAUCAACCUAGUAGUAGUGGCACCGCACUAGCUGGUCGUACAUCCGUCCCGCACCAUAAUAAGGCGAGUGGCGUGUAAGGCUUCCUACGAACCGGUUCUCAGAACAUCUCAGUCCAUAGGGUAACCGAACAGGACAUCUUCACGAGGGGCCAGCCGAUGCCCCUCUCGACGGGACACCCGGCUACCCCGUGCUAAACAGCACCUCCUAUCCCGGUGCUUCGUCCCACGAAGACACUCCACUCCGGGACCUGUCCCUGUCACAUGUACCCGCCACAGGUACCUCUCGUGGAGAACGCCCAGGUAGCGUCCUCCGGCAAGAGUUGUCCCCAGGACUCGUCGUAGAUCCUGCUCGGUCGACUCGACCCUCACCACACACCCAAGACACAUGCCAAGAUCUCCCCAAGUCCAUUAUCCAUUUCUUAUCCAGUUAUCGGCACCACGUGCCUUAUCCACUCACAUCCAAUCCUCCACAAUGCAUCACAUCACAGAUAUAAUGCGUAGUAGAAGCAGUAGCAAGUAGUAUGCAAGCGUCUAACCUAACAGCGGGUGUGCGAGGGUUAUAGGUUGCAACAAGGCAAUGGCUCACAAGCGUUUCUACCAUGCAACCUAUCUCAAUUUAUUUGCAUAAAAGUAAAGCACUAGCAUCUACAUUAUUGCAUGUCUAAUAGGAUUCUACGAGGUUGGGUGGGACGUGGCACCUGUCGAGUGACAUUUCCAAGAUCCUCAGUUCACUUGUAGUUGUACUCAUCCAAGGUCUUUCUCCUAUCUGCAUGUCCUUCCUUCAACGGGUCCUGAUCCGAUCAACGCUAACCCGGAAGCAACUACCUCAAAAGCGACAAAUACGGCGAAACAAUCAUACCACUAGACUUAGAAAGACUGCGAAAAGAGACGACAAAACACUGAAGAACAACUACACUAAAAGAGCACCGAAAGAAAAACAACUUAGCCCUCUCGGUGGAUGUCCGAUCCCUGGGCUAAAAGAACAGGAAUGGUUGUUCACUAAGUACAAGCUUGAGUUUUUGCCUAGCCGGUACUUCCCGGGUCGAUCAUGCCGACCUGUACGGCUUUAAUAACAAGGGCGUAGACCCUAACUUAUUCUAAGUAAACAGCACGGCUUACGGUCUUCCGAUCCGAGUGUCAUAGAGAUCGACAGGGAUCGAAAAGACUAUGAGCACGAGAAGUUCCGGUCUCUCUCAAUCCAUACGCCAUUGUAGUUGGCGAGAGCCAAGAGAGGGUGGAACAAAGAGAGAAGAAAAGGGGAGUGGUCUACUCCUUCCAAUCCACUUGCCAUGGUAAGAGACGGGGAAUCAGAAAGAGUGACACACAAGAACACGAGUGCUCAAACUACUUGUAGGGUACCACAACCAAGGUGCACUAAAUGCACCAAGACAUCCCUAGGGUUCUUAGCAGUGCGGUUGUCACCGCGAGAACCAAAGAAAUGCUACGGUUGAAUAGGUACAAACAUACAAGAAUUUAAACACGAGGAACCAAAAAGGCAAGAAAAGACACGGGCUUCACUUUCCAUUGAUCCGCUCGCCAAAGCAACAGCGGGAAUCGCAGAACUGGAAACAAAACAUCGAACAAGCAAAAGGGGCUCAAUCCACAUCUUACUGGAUCGACGGGGAUUGAGAACAAGAGAGAAGAAGAACGAAUCACACUCUUUCAACCAACUUGCCAUGGAACAAACGUCAGUUGGAGAAAUAAACACGACCCCACGAACUACACCAACUCAUAUCACUUCGCGACCUAGGUGCUUCUGAAUCGGCACAAGGUCAUUUCUAUAGUUCCAGGCAAUGUGGUUGUCACUGCGGGAACUACGGGAAAUGCCCGAGUCUAGGUGGCAUAGGCAUAUGAGACGGAUAAGAUAAACAUGCGAGAAGCAAGGUAAAGCCCGAUGACCAUGGCGAGGCGACUCGCGGCCAUGAGCUCCACCUAACGAGUUGGCUUCCGACUGUUCCACAAGGUUGCUCCUAAUAUGUAUCCCACUAGACUAGAUCACAGAGGACUCGAAGGUGCGGGUAAGACCCGCGUCGUUAUGAAUAUCGAGUCCGCAAUGAUCAAACCCUAGGGACGGGGAUAGGAGCCAACAACCGUAGUUCAACGAAGUCAACUAAACACGAGGAAUGCGUUACUCUCGACAUCGCGAUCACGGUCCAAUGACAAAUAACACACGGUCCAAUGACAAAUAACACACGGUCAACGACAACACGAGAGAAGGGACAUGCUUGGCAUUACGGCCAUGGCGAGACGAACUCGCGAUCGCAACGUCCAAACACAUCACUCUCUCAACCGGCUCGACGGCAUGGUCCACAGACACGACAAAUACACAAGGAAUCACGCCUCGAUCAUUAAUAACACAAAGGCACUAUAACAACCCGGAGUAGCACAUUUCCAUAGCGACCAAAAGAGAUAGAGAUAGAUAAAUAAAUAAUUAGACCGGCGCGAAGGCACGGCACAGGCAUGGAUAUGGUUAAAUCAUGUAACAAGUUCAUACAAUGAUACGAGAAAGGACAAGGGUUUUGCCGACGUCGGAGACGAUGUCGGCUAGGUUCAAGGUUCAACCUUGCUGACCACGAGGAAGGCGUAGACCAGCUGCAAGCCUGCUGUUGGCCGGGAUGUGCAGCAGGCAUCGGGAAGGCGUCGCAUCUUCGGCAAAACACAACGAGGCCACUGUUUCCCUGCACAGUGGAUGAAUUGCGGCACGAAGGCCGGUCUCAGCAAGGUGAACGCAAGAAGGGGAAAUCUUCGGUCUUGGCGAGGCUCACCGGUGCUGACGGCGCCACGGGCUCGGCGAGGGCGCGGUGGUCGAUGGGGAGCUCCGGGCGGCGUCGCGAGCUCUGGGGGCGGAGCGGUCGGCGUGGCCGAGGACGAGGCGCGGCUGCGACGGGCUCGCCACGGGCUUGGUCCGUGGCGUCGCGGUUGCAGGCGAUGUCGACGUCGCGAGCGCAGAGCGAACCGGUGGCGGAGACGGUGCCACGGCAGCACAGCUUCGGGACGAGGCCAUGGCGCGGUCGUGGGUGGCUUCGGUGUGAUCGUGCUCUGUGACGUCCGCGGCGAGCUCGUCGGCGAGGUGACGCAGUGGCGCUGGGCGGAGGGAGAAGGAGCAGAGGGAGGUGACUUGCGGCCGCUGGAUCGCGGAUGCUCCAAGCAGCCGCGUGCUCGCGCAGAGUGGCCGUGGCGAGGCUCGGGCGCAGGGGAAGGGGCGUGGGGGCGAGGUCGCGGCCACGGUCGCCGGGGUUCGGCCGGUUGACGUCGUCGCUGCCGUGUCGUGGUGGUUCGUCGUGGCGCCGGAGGUGGAGGUCGAGUUCGCAGCGCGGCGGUGCUGCUUGGGAGCAGAGGAGAAAGGGGAGGGCGGCGGCGUUGCGGGGAAGAAGAGGAGAGCGGCGGCUCGGGCUCUUAUAGCGCGGGCGCUAGGGCUUCGGGGUAGGGCGACCAUCCUCGGCGUCCGUGCCGUGGGCGGGCCGCGUGGCGUGAAUCGCGGGGCGCGCGUCGAGGGGAGAGGGGCAGGUGCGCGCAGAGGCACGGGUGCAGGGGGCGUGGGCGCGCCUCUGUCCACCCCGGAGCGGUGGCGGCGGCGCCUAAGGAGCAGCUGCUCCCUAGGGUUCAGGUGAGGGCGCG